AUGGCCAAAUGUGAUUAUGAUGGGAUUAUAUCUGUAGUGUCUCGUGCUCCAGAUUCAUCCCUAAUUCAUCUGGGGUCUCUGGCCUCCGCUCGGUGCUUACUGGCCUUCUGUGGGUCUACUGGCCUCCUCCUGUGGGUCUACUGGCCUCCUCUCUGUGGGUCUAUGGCCUCCUCUCUGUGGGUCUCUGGCCUCCUCUCGGUGGCUCUACUGGCUCCUCUCGGUGGGUCUACUGGCCUGCUCUCUGUAGGUCUUGGACUCCUGGGUCUACGGACUCCUCUGUGGGUCUACUGGACUCCUCUCUGUGGGUCUACUGGACUCUCUCUGUGGGCUACUGGACUCCUCUGUGGGUCUACUGGACUCCUCUCUGUGGGUCUACUGGACUCCUCUCUGUGGGUCUACUGGACUCCUCUCUGUGGGUCUACUGGACUCCUCUCUGUGGGUCUACUGGACUCCUCUCUGUGGUCUACUGGACUCCUCUCUUGUGGGUCACUGGCUCCCUCUGUGGGUCUACUGGCCUCCUCUCUGGGUGUCUGGCUCCUUCGGUGGGUCUACUGGCCUCCUCUCGGUGGGUCUACGGCCUCCUCCGUGGGUCUACUGGCCUCUCUCGUGGGUCUACUGGCUCCUCUCGGUGGGUCUACUGGCCUCCUCUCGGUGGGUCUACUGGCCUCCUCUCGGUGGGUCUUACUGGCCUCCUCUUGUGGGUCUUACUGGCCUCCUCUCUGGGGUCUACCAGCCUCCUCUCUGUGGGUCUCUACCGGCCUCCUCUCUGUGGGUCUACCGCUCCUCUCUGUCGGUCUACGGCUCCGUCGUCUCGACUCCUCUCUGUCGGUCUCCGGCCUCCUCUCGGUGGGUCUACCGCCUCCUCUCGGUGGGUCUACCGGCCUCCUCUCGUGGGUCUACCUGCCUUUUGAGAAAGGAGAGUGCAAAUCAAUUGAAUUUCUAUUCAAACCAUAAGGGCUGAUUUCCUGGAUACAGUUAAGCUAGUCCUUGACUGAAAUUAAUUAAUUUUUCCAUGGAUAAUCUCCAUUGUGCUUUUUAGUACUAAUCUGUGUCUGGGAUACCACUCCUAAGCUCAUGGCAAUAUGUCUGGGACUUUAGGAAUAACAUUUUAUUGUAUGGUGUUUAAGCAAUCCUUAGUGUUUUUUAAAAAGGGAUUCAGUUCAGGGCCCAGAUUCAUAACGUGUCUCAGUGUAGGGUGCUGCUCUACGAUCAUAUUCUUACAUUGUUGAUCAUAAUGAAUGUGAUAUGGGUCUUAGAUAGUGAAAACGAUAUUUUAAAUUUAAAUCCACCUGUUUCAUUUUGGUCUCAUUUAGUUUCCUGAAGAAAGGAGGCACAUUUCUAUUCAAUUUAUUCAAUUUGUGAUCCUACAGGGGUCACCUGUCGGAGGCUGACUCCUACAGGGGUCACCCUUGGCGGAGGCUGACUCCUACAGGGCGUCACCUGGCGGAGGCUGACUCCUAAAGGGUCACCUGGCGGAGGCUGACUCCUACAACGGGUCACCUGGCGGAGGCUGACUCUACAGGGGUACCUGGCGGAGGCUGACUCCUACAGGGGUCACCUGGCGGAGGCUGAU
rnacentral:lncRNA from 1 species